rnacentral:rRNA from 1 species
CACAUGCAAGUCGAGCGGUAGAGAGGUGCUUGCAUCUCUUGAGAGCGGCGGACGGGUGAGUAAUGCCUAGGAAUCUGCCUGGUGGUGGGAUAACGUUCGGAAACGGACGCUAAUACCGCAUACGUCCUACGGGAGAAAGCGGGGGAUCUUCGGACCUCGCGCCAUUAGAUGAGCCUAGGUCGGAUUAGCUAGUUGGUGAGGUAAUGGCUCACCAAGGCGACGAUCCGUAACUGGUCUGAGAGGAUGAUCAGCCACACUGGGACUGAGACACGGCCCAGACUCCUACGGGAGGCAGCAGUGGGGAAUAUUGGACAAUGGGCGAAAGCCUGAUCCAGCAAUGCCGCGUGAGUGAUGAAGGCCUUCGGGUUGUAAAGCUCUUUUACUCGGGACGAUAAUGACGGUACCGAGAGAAUAAGCCCCGGCUAACUCCGUG